AGUGAACGCUGGCGGUAGGCCUAACACAUGCAAGUCGAACGGCAGCACAGUAAGAGCUUGCUCUUACGGGUGGCGAGUGGCGGACGGGUGAGGAAUACAUCGGAAUCUACUUUUUCGUGGGGGAUAACGUAGGGAAACUUACGCUAAUACCGCAUACGACCUACGGGUGGAAGCAGGGGAUCUUCGGACCUUGCGCGAUUGAAUGAGCCGAUGUCGGAUUAGCUAGUUGGCGGGGUAAAGGCCCACCAAGGCGACGAUCCGUAGCUGGUCUGAGAGGAUGAUCAGCCACACUGGAACUGAGACACGGUCCAGACUCCUACGGGCGGCAGCAGUGGGGAAUAUUGGACCAUGGGCGCAAGCCUGAUCCAGCCAUACCGCGUGGGUGAAGAAGGCCUUCGGGUUGUAAAGCCCUUUUGUUGGGAAAGAAAAGCAGCAGGUUAAUACCCCGCUGUUCUGACGGUACCCAAAGAAUAAGCACCGGCUAACUUCGUG
rnacentral:rRNA from 1 species